rnacentral:rRNA from 1 species
GUGCCAGCAGCGGCGGUAAUACGUAGGUGGCAAGCGUUGUCCGGAAUUAUUGGGCGUAAAGGGAGCGCAGGUGGGAAUGUAAGUCAAUCUUAAAAGUGCGGGGCUUAACCCCGUGAUGGGAUAGAAACUACAUUUCUUGAGUGCAGGAGAGGAAAGUGGAAUUCCUGGUGUAGCGGUGAAAUGCGUAGAUAUCAGGAGGAACACCAGUGGCGUAAGGCGACUUUCUGGACUGUAACUGACACUGAGGCU